rnacentral:rRNA from 1 species
GGUGCGGAACACGUGUGCACUGCUUUAUCUGGGGGAUAGCCUCUCGAAAGGAAGAUUAAUACCCCAUAAUAUGUUGAAUGGCAUCAUUCGACAUUGAAAACUCCGGUGGAUAGAGAUGGGCACGCGCAAGAUUAGAUAGUUGGUGAGGUAACGGCUCACCAAGUCUACGAUCUUUAGGGGGCCUGAGAGGGUGAUCCCCCACACUGGUACUGAGACACGGACCAGACUCCUACGGGAGGCAGCAGUGAGGAAUAUUGGACAAUGGGUGAGAGCCUGAUCCAGCCAUCCCGCGUGAAGGACGACUACCCUAUGGGUUGUAAACUUCUUUUGUAUAGGGAUAAACCUACCCUCGUGAGGGUAGCUGAAGGUACUAUACGAAUAAGCACCGGCUAACUCCGUGCCAGCAGCCGCGGUAAUACGGAGGGUGCAAGCGUUAUCCGGAUUAUGGGUUAAAGGGUCCGUAGGCGGAUCUGUAAGGUCAGUGGUGAAAUCUCCAACAGUUUACUGUGAAACUGCAUUGAUACUGCAGGGUCCUCGAAGUGUGUGGAAGUAGUUGGGAAUUACGUAGUGUAACGGGUUGAAAUUGGCAUUAGAGAUUAUGGGGUAUAGCUUUGGGAAACUGAAGGUAAUCCCCCAUAACAUUGCGAGAGGGCAUCUGAUUGCAAUUAAAGUUUCGGCGGUAUAUGAUUGGUGUGCGUUUGAUUAGCUAGUUGGUAGGGUAACGGCCUACCAAGGCGACGAUCAAUAGCUGGCGUGAGAGCGCGACCAGCCACACUGGAACUGAGACACGGUCCAGACUCCUACGGGAGGCAGCAGUAGGGAACUAUUGGACAAUGGAGGAAACUCUGAUCCAGCCAUGCCGCGUGGUAGAUGAAGGCCUCUGGGUUGUAAAUAUCUUUCUAUCUGGCGAACGAAACAAUCUUAUCCUUUAAGAUCUNUGACGGGUACCAGGAGGGAAAUAAAGCAACCAGGCUAAACUCCGUGCCAAACAGGCCCGCGGUAAUUACCGNGAGGGGGGCUGCNAAAAGCCCGUCAAAAUCCCAGGGAAAUUCNAAACGGGGGAUCCAAAACAUGGGGGGNUGCCAGCAUCAACGGACAUCGGGGAACAUGAAACUACAAGCAUCCCAGUCCGAGUCGGAAAACAACGCCGCCCCACNAGACUUUANAAACCNCAGCGCGCAACACACNCGGGCCACGCAC